rnacentral:rRNA from 1 species
CCUACGGGUGGCUGCAGUGAGGAAUAUUGGUCAAUGGACGAGAGUCUGAACCAGCCAAGUAGCGUGAAGGAUUACUGCCCUAUGGGUUGUAAACUUCUUUUAUAUGGGAAUAAAAUGUUCCCCGUGUGGGCUUUUGUAUGUACCAUAUGAAUAAGGAUCGGCGAACUCCGUGCCAGCAGCCGCGGUAAUACGGAGGAUCCGAGCGUUAUCCGGAUUUAUUGGGUUUAAGGGGGGCGUAGGCGGAUUGUUAAGUCAGUUGUGAAAGUUUGCGGCUCAACCGGAAAAUUGCAGUUGAAACUGGUAGUCUUGAGUAUAGGAGAGGUAGGCGGAAUGCGUGGUGUAGCGGUGAAAUGCUUAGAGAUCACGCAGAACACCGAUUGCGAAGGCAGCUUACCGGACUGCAACUGACACUGAGGCUCGAAAGUGUGGGUAGCAAACAGGAUUAGAUACCCUUGUAGUC